rnacentral:tRNA from 1 species
GUCGUUUAAGUCGAAGAGGAGACGUCAGGAUGAUACCCUGGAGGUGGAAUAAAUUUCCAAGCGAUA